rnacentral:tRNA from 1 species
GGAGUUGUGGCUCAGUGGUAGAUCACUCUUCUAGCACAUGUGAGGUCUUAGGUUCGAUCUUCAGCACCA